UCUCCCAUUGGCCGGCCUCCUCCCCGCCCCCUCUCUGCUGACCAAUGAGCGCCGCCACCGCCCCCUCAACCACGCCUUCUGUUCCGCGCCGAGGGGCGUCGCGGCGCCGCCUCAUCGCGUCACUUCCUCCCCCUCCUCCCAUUGGUCCGAAGGAUCCCCGCCCCCUCCCGGCUGACCAAUGGGUAGCCGCCGAACGGCUCCGGGGGGCGGGGCGUGGCGCGGCGCCAUGGCGGCGGGGCGCGGCGGCGCUGGGAUGGCCGCGCCGGUGCCGGUGGCCGUGGCUGAAGCCGGUGCCGGUACCGGUGCCGUUCCCGCCGCCACCCGGCUGCAGGCCUACGCCUGGUGCCGUGAGUUCCUGGCCGGCUCCUGGAAGCUCAUCGGCCCCGACGAGUUCGCCAUUGCGCCCGUCAGCGGUGGGCUCAGCAAUCUGCUCUUCAAAUGCUCGCUGCCCGACCACGUGCGCAGUGUCGGGGAUGAACCCCGCCAGGUGCUGCUGCGUGUCUAUGGGGCCAUCCUACAGGGCAUGGAUUCCUUGGUGCUGGAGAGCGUCAUGUUCGCCAUCCUGGCUGAGCGGGCGCUGGGGCCACGGCUGUAUGGGGUUUUCCCCCAGGGGAGGCUGGAGCAAUACGUGCCGGUACGGUGUGGGGUGUGCUGGGAUGGGAGUGGGGGGUGGGGGGGUUUUAGGGGGGGUUGGGGAUGGGGGGGGGGUGGCGAUGCCGUUUGCUGAUAGCGAUGGGAGCGGAGCUCUUCAGCAUCUGCAUCCAUCGCAGCAUCGCAGGAUGGUUUGGGUUGGAAGGGACCUCAGGGAUGAUGAAGCUCCAACCCCUGUGCCAUGCAGGGCCAUAGGGACACCAUAGGGACACCAUUGGGAUACAUGGAGAUCCAUAGGGACAACGUGGGGACACCAUAGGGACACCACUGGGACACCAUAGGGACACAUGGGGACCCAUAGCGACACCGUAGGGAUACAUGGAAACCCAUAGGGAUACCAUAGGGAUACAUGGAGACUCAUAGGGACACCAUAGGGACACCACUGGAACACCAUAGGGACACAUGGAGACCCAUAGAGACACCAUAGGGAUACAUGGGGAACCCAUAGGAAUACGUGGGGACCCAUAGGGACACGUGGGGACCCAUAGGGAUACGUGGGGGACCAUAAGGAUACAUAGAGACCCUAUAGAGACGUGUAGGGACACCAUAGGGAUACAUGGAGACCCAUAGAGACACCAUAGGGAUACAUGGGGACCCAUAGGGACACGUGGGGAACCACAGGGACACGUGGGGGACCAUAGGGAUACGUGGGGGACCAUAACGAUACAUAGAGAUCCUAUAGAGACGUGUAGGGACACCACAGAGAUACAUGGAGACACAUAGGGACACCACUGGGAUACAUGGAGACUCAUAGGGACACCAUAGGGACACCACACCAUUGCAGUGUAUGGCAGCGGCGUGGGGAACCCAUAGGGAUACAUGGGGGACCACAGGGAUACAUAGAGACACAUGGAGACCCGUGGGGAACCAUAGGGAUACAUGGGGACCCAUAGGGACACCAUAGGGACACCAUAGGGAUACAUGGAGACCCAUAGGAACACCAUAGGGGUACAUGGAAUCACAGCAUCACAGAGUGGUUUGGGUUGGAAGGGACCUCAAGGAUGACGAAGCUCCAACCCCUGUGCCAUGCAGGGCCAUAGGGACACCAUAGGGAUACGUGGGGAACCAUAGGGAUACAUGGGGGACCAUAGGGACACCAUAGGGAUACCUGGGGAGCCAUAGGGAACCAUAGGGACACAUGGGGACCCAUAGGAACACCAUAGGGAUACAUGGAGACCCAUAGGGACACCAUAGGGACACCAUAGG
rnacentral:lncRNA from 1 species